rnacentral:tRNA from 1 species
AGCAUCGGCCGGGAAUCGAAACCGGGCCGCCCGCGUGGCAGGCGAGCAUUCUCGCAAUUGAACUACCGAUGC